rnacentral:lncRNA from 1 species
AUGCCUAGAACAAUACUCACCCCACUGCAGAGGUGCCAGCUGCAGGUGCUCCAGGACGAGCUGGUUCAGGAGCCCUUCCACACUUGCCUCACCACUGCGCUUCAGAGAGGGGAUUCGCCAGUGGAUAUCCAGUUUGCUGUUGAUCUCCAAUCCUCGAGCAUCCUGCCUCUCCUCUUCCAGCUGCUUUGGACUUACAAAUUGUCCCUUCUCUCCAGGGGAUUCUGGGACACUCUCAAAGUUGAACUUGUCCACUUGGAUAGCCAUGCUAAGAGAAGAAAGAAAACAAGAGAGAAUUCAUCAAUGGGGCCAUUUUUUUGCGGCUGACUCUUGAAGAAGCACAAUGUGCCAGCAUGAGAUGGUGUAAUGAAUCAUUAUUGUUAGUAAUUCAUCACAGAUUUAAUCUAAGAAAAUGAAAUGAAAUAAGAGGUUUCCAAGGUGGCUAGGCCCACAGAGCCAGCUGAAUACAUGGUUUGUAGCUGAAGACACAGUUACAAUU